rnacentral:rRNA from 1 species
UGGAGCAACAGGAUUAGAUACCCUGGUAGUCCACGCCCUAAACGAUGUACACUAGUUGUUGCGAUGCUCGUCAUUGCAGUAAUACAGUUAACACAUUAAGUGUACCGCCUGGGGAGUACGGUCGCAAGAUUAAAACUCAAAGGAAUAGACGGGGACCCGCACAAGCGGUGGAGCAUGUGGCUUAAUUCGAAGAUACGCGAAGAACCUUACCUAGACUUGAAAUCCUUGGAAUCUUUCAGAGAUGAGAGAGUGCUAGUUUACUAGAACCAAGUGACAGGUGCUGCACGGCUGUCGUCAGCCCGUGUCGUGAGAUGUUGGGUUAAGUCCCGCAACGAGCGCAACCCUCGUGAUUAGUUGCUAACAGUUCGGCUGAGCACUCUAAUCAGACUGCCUUCGUAAGGAGGAGGAAGGUGAGGACGACGUCAAGUCAUCAUGGCCCUUAUGUCUAGGGCUACACACGUGCUACAAUGGUUGGGACAAAGAGCAGCGAUACCGCGAGGUGGAGCAAAUCUUAAAACCCAAUCUCAGUUCGGAUUGGAGUCUGCAACUCGACUCCAUGAAGCUGGAAUCGCUAGUAAUCGUAGAUCAGCAAUGCUACGGUGAAUACGUUCCCGGGUCUUGUACACACCGCCCGUCAC